GGGAUGCACCGAUACCACUUUUUGCAGACCAAGUACAAGUACUUACAUUUUGCUACUCACCGAUACCGAGUACUGAUUUGAGGAACUUAAUAAUCCCUCUGGGGUCUGAGGGUGUUUUCAGACGCAGAUGAUUUUGGCCUGCUCUGAUAUUAAACAAAUGUCAGCA